rnacentral:misc_RNA from 1 species
GUCCGUAGUGCCGAGCCGCGGCAGUUGGUCGCCGCGCACCGUCGAACGUGUACACGCCGAGCCGCGUCGCUCGCAAGCGUCGUCCACCGCUGCCGUAGCCGCCGUCGCCCCGACCGAACACCGCGCCGUGCCGACGACAGCCGCUCGACCACAGCUCCCUCCCCGCACUCGCGCGCCCACCGUCACCCCGCCGAUGACUUGUUGAACCUUGCCGCGUGUCUCUAGCCCGCCAACUCUACUCCCCCCCCCCCGCCCCCCCCGCCAAUUUGCCUCGCUGCCGCCGCCAUGGACUCGACGGCCGACGGCGUGUCCGCCACGUUCGAAGACGCCGUCGUGCUCUACCGGUACGAGAUGUGCCACAACCUGACGGCCGAGGCGGCCAUCAACGUGCCGCUGUGCACCAACAGCACCGAGUUCCCCGAGGACUACAACAACACCGACGACGAGAUCCUGCAGGUGGAGCGGAUCGUGUCGCUGGCCGUGCCCAUACUGUUCGGCAUCAUCGUGGUGGUCGGGCUGCUGGGCAACCUGCUGGUGGUGAUCGUGGUGAUGGCCAACCAGCAGAUGCGCAGCACCACCAACCUGUUGAUCAUCAACUUGGCGCUGGCCGACCUGCUGUUCAUCGUGUUCUGCGUGCCGUUCACCGCGGUCGACUACAUGCUGCCGUACUGGCCGUUCGGCGACGUCUGGUGCAAGAUGGUCCAGUACCUGAUCGUGGUCACCGCGUACGCGAGCGUCUACACGCUGGUGCUCAUGUCGCUCGACCGGUUCCUGGCCGUCGUACACCCGAUCGCGUCCAUCUACGUGCGCACCGAGCGCAACGCGUCGUCCGCCAUCAUCGUCACGUGGGUGCUGAUCGUGCUGCUCGCGCUGCCCGUGCUCGCCAGGCACGGCGAGGUUACGUACACGUUCUCCAGCACCGAGCACACGGCGUGCAUAUUCCUCGACAUGGACCCGAAGACCCGGCCGGACGGUUACAACAAGCCCGCGUACCAGAUAUUUUUCUUCCUCACGUCGUAUGCCAUACCACUGGCCAUCAUAUGCAUACUGUACGUGUUAAUGUUGAUGAGACUGUGGAAGGGUGUGAAUCCGGGUGGGCAACCGCCGUCGGCCGAAAGUCGGCGGGGCAAGAAGCGUGUGACCCGGAUGGUUGUGGUUGUAGUCGCCAUAUUCGCAUUCUGCUGGUUUCCAAUACAAGUUAUAUUGGUGUUGAAAAGCAUCAACUAUUAUGAAAUCACAGCCAUAAGUGUCGUCGUACAAAUAGUUAGCCAUUGUCUAGCGUACACCAACUCAUGUCUGAACCCGAUAUUAUACGCAUUUCUAUCGGAAAAUUUUCGGAAGGCAUUCAGAAAAGUGAUAAUUCCGUGGAGACCGGAAGUAAACGCACCUGGAAGAUUUGCAAAUGGAGACGCCCGGUCGAUGGCUGUCACCAGGACGACUAGGACUAAUAACGACAUACUCUGAAAUUGUGGACGGAAAUAAGCAAAUGAAAAUCAAUAAGAGAAACAUUAAAGAUAAAACACAAAAACAAGAUACAAUAUUAGUCUAGCAAACCAAGCUCAAUAACAGAACAAAAACUAAUAUACAGAAAUUCACUGUACAAUGAUAGUUAAAAUACAGUCAGUUAAUCGACUUUAUU